rnacentral:rRNA from 1 species
CGUAGGGUGCGAGCGUUGAUCGGAAUUACUGGGCGUAAAGCGUGCGUAGGCGGUUCGUUGUGUCUGUGGUGAAAGCCCCCGGGCUUAACCUGGGAAUUGCCAUGGAAACUGGCGAGCUGGAGUGUGGCAGAGGAGGGUGGAAUUCCGCGUGUAGCAGUGAAAUGCGUAGAGAUGCGGAGGAACACCGAUGGCGAAGGCAGCCCUCUGGGCUAACACUGACGCUCAGGCACGAAAGCGUGGGGAGCAAACAGGAUUAGAUACCCUGGUAGUCCACGCCCUAAACGAUGGCAACUAGGUGUUGGGGAAGCGAUUCUCCAGUACCGUAGCUAACGCGUGAAGUUGCCCGCCUGGGGAGUACGGCCGCAAGGUUA